GUAAAAAUAAGAAAUAAUCGAAACAACCUACAAAGGUAGGAUCUGCCGAGUGGCAGUAG
ncrna:unclassified sequences RAGATH-30 RNA